UACAGAGGGUGCGAGCGUUAAUCGGAAUUACUGGGCGUAAAGCGUGCGUAGACGGUUACGUAAGUUAGGUGUGAAAGCCCCGGGCUCAACCUGGGAAUUGCAUUUAAGACUGCGUAGCUAGGGUGCGGAAGAGGGAAGCGGAAUUUCCGGUGUAGCGGUGAAAUGCGUAGAUAUCGGAAGGAACAUCAGUGGCGAAAGCGGCUUCCUGGUCCAGCACC
rnacentral:rRNA from 1 species